rnacentral:rRNA from 1 species
UACGAAGGGUGCAAGCGUUACUCGGAAUUACUGGGCGUAAAGCGUGCGUAGGUGGUGAGUUAAGUCUGAUGUGAAAUCCCCGGGCUCAACCUGGGAAUGGCAUUGGAUACUGGCUCGCUAGAGUGCGGUAGAGGGUGGUGGAAUUCCCGGUGUAGCAGUGAAAUGCGUAGAGAUCGGGAGGAACAUCUGUGGCGAAGGCGGCCACCUGGACCAGCACUGACACUGAGGCACGAAAGCGUGGGGAGCGAACAGG